rnacentral:rRNA from 1 species
GUGCCAGCAGCCGCGGUAAUACGGAGGGUGCAAGCGUUGUUCGGAAUUACUGGGCGUAAAGCGCGUGUAGGCGGUUGCCUAAGUCUGACGUGAAAGCCCGGGGCUUACCUCCGGAAGUGCGUUGGAAACUGGGCGACUCGAGUGCCGGAGAGGAGGGUGGAAUUCCUGGUGUAGCGGUGAAAUGCGUAGAUAUCAGGAGGAACACCGGUGGCGAAGGCGGCCCUCUGGACGGAUACUGACGCUGAGACGCGAAAGCGUGGGGAGCAAACAGGAUUAGAUACCCUUGUAGUCC